ensembl:lncRNA
ACUUUGCUGCCCUCCAAUAACCUUCCCAUGGAUGAGUAUGUUGAUCUCUGCUGUUCAUUUGGACUUCCUGUGUGGAUAGCAUCACUGCUUCAGGCCGCUAAACCCCUGAAAAGUGACUGUGCCCGUCGGAAGAAGGUCUACAGGCUUCUGCAGAGGAAACUGAUGUUUCACAGGGUUGGUGUGAAAGAGGGGAACCUGUGUCAGCCCACCUACGUUUACCCUGAAGAGGUGAAAAUGUUGGUGCGUUCUGUCUUCUCACAGGACAUUUGUGACUACCCCGACCCCUGCCAUGAUCAGGUAGUUUACGUCACUGUAGAGGAUCUGAACAAAGUUGAAAUCAACUAAAGUGUAGCUGUCUUCAUUUGUUCUGUGCUUGCCUUUAUAAUAUACAACUUACAGUUAUGGGGCAGUGUCAGUGUUAUUAGUGUAUGUGUCAAAAUGUUUGACUUUGAUCUGGUGCAGUGUCACACAACAUAAAAAUCAUAAAUCCUUCACUGGUUGUUCUGUGUGAUACAGUAUGCAUGUGUUUUCUCUACUGUAUGUUUAAGGGUUGGGUCCUCUUAGUCAGUCAGCGGUGUGCACACCAUAACAAAAACAAUUUAAUGGAAACAGAAGUUCACAUUCUGAAUAUCACGGUUGGUUUUUAACCAGCUCUCCACACUUGACACAUUUCAGCUAAUUGUUUCAGUUGUGUAUCUUAGAAGCAUCCGUUGAAAAUAUACCGAAACAACAGAUAACGCAACAGCUGACUGACACUUGAGUGAAUGGAUCACGCUUCUAUAUCUGAAUAUCCAUUAGUAUCGUGUACAGUGAUGUGACAACAAUACCAUUACAAUGCAAAUUAAAGUUCAUCUUUUGAACGAUACGUCUCACUCGAGAAUUUUUUCCUUUCUUAGUUUGUUAGGCAAUAACAAAAAACGCCACAUAGUUUUGAAUUAUGAGCCUCUACCUAAUAGUAGAGACUGUGAUCAGCAUCAUGAGUUUGUCAUUGAAGUGUAUUGAAAGACACCUUUGUAUUACAUAUCUGUGUAAAAAACAAAGAAAUAGCAUUAUAACAUUUAAAAGUGUAAGAGAAUGUCAAUUUGGAAUGAAUAAAAUAAAAAGUUUAGUUUCGCUGAUAUUAGAUGAUCAGCGUUAUUUACUUCAGCUAUUAGUGCUAAUGUUGUGGCUGAUCGGUAUAUAAUCAGAUCAACAUAGGUAACAACGUCAAAGUCAUCUCACUAUCAGUUGGUAAUCAGAAAAUGUAUUUAAUUUCAAAGAUGUCAGACUUUGUAACUAGAAACAAAAAUGGUUCAAAUGACAUAUCAGAUGCCAUCAUGAAUUACUUAAAAUAAAUGAGAUUAACGAACAGAUCAGACAAAGGGAGUUAGAAGGUGAGGCCAAUUUAAAGUAAGGAAAAGGAAGGUCAUGAGAAACCCACAUAUGACCUGUUGGACCUGUGUCUCCUCCAGCAACCAGACACAGUGUUCAUGUUUAUCUUGUUCUCUCCUCAUUGUUCUCAUUCCAAAUGCAGACCCUUAAGUCUACAUUCAUUCAUGUGACAUCUGACAUGAGGCUACGGACAAUUCACUUUUGAUGCAGUGACACAAAUUAAGUUCACAAAUGACAAGCAGUGUGGGAACACAGUUUCAGCAGUCUAUAUAUGAAUACAUCAACCUUCUUCUGUGAAAAUACUGAAAACACUUGUUUAAUCAAUAUUUUUGUGGAUUUCUUAAACAUUUAAAACAAUGUGAAUGUGUCAUUGUAAAAAAAAAAAGAGAAAUGAAAAAACCAUGGUAAAUAUUUGGGGGCAAACGAGUGUCGUUUAUACGUGAACCAGGAAAUACAUGUGUGAAACCCUCUGUGUGUUGACAUUAAUGUCAUGAUUAGAUUCCAUAGGAUAACAGGCAAUACUAAAUCAACAACAGGGACUGUCAGAACCAGAGUCAGAGUCACAAGGAGUCAGCUCUGACUCUAACCGUCUGAUACCUUCAGAUCUCUGCUGACACACCCUGACACACUUGUUUUGAUGAUCAGCUUGACAUCAAAUUUGCAAUUAAAUGAAAAUGUAAAAUGCCAUUGUGGAUAACAAAAAGAUUCCCUGUGCCAUAUAUAGGCUAUUUAAGACCAAUUCAAGUACCUUCUAGAAAGGACGGUUGUUUCUUUUUCUUUCUUUUCAAGUGACUGCUGGAUUUUUACAUUUCAUGUGUCUGACCUGUAAAGCUCAAAAUUGAAAUGUGUUAAAAUAAUGCACGUUUAGAAGGGUUCUCUGCUUUAUUAGUUUUCCCACUUGAACAAGAAAGGACAGAAGACCCUAUGGAACCACACGCUGUAGAGAACCAAUAGUGCUCCUUUUUAAUCUUUGGUGGAAUGAGGCUGGUGAAAAGGUCUGGGCUAAAGGAUUUAUUCACAUUACUGAGUCACACUGACUGCAUUAGGUCUUUUGUUUUUUUUUUAUCUAAGGUUACCUAAUAAACUUGGACGGGUAACUCAUCAUUUGAUAACAACAGGGAGGACAUACAUUGAAAUGGUUCUGGCAGCAGGGGGCGCUGUAUGCCGGUCCUGACCUUACGUAUUGGAGACUGUAUGGCGAUAAAUCCCAGCGCAGACACUGAGCCUGGAUUGGACCUGAGACUUUCAUGUGGAUAUUGUUCUGAGCUUUCACUCGGGGCUCACAGGUGCGGCUCAGUUGCGGGUCCGGUGCUGAGGCAGCGCGUGUGCUCGGGGUGGUUCGCCGCUGGCAUCAUCAGCGUCAAGUGUCCGGGACAGAAAAGUUGCUCCAGGAGUUGCCAUUAUGGGAGACGUCGUCCGAAGUACCACACAGUGCUCGAAGACAAGUCAGCGCUACUUCUAAGUGAGCUGUAAACCUUUCCUGAACCGAAACAAGCCGACAGCCGCGGGGAACAGGAAUGGAUAGCCGGGGCUGCAGUGGAGACCCUGCCGCGGAGAGCAGCGGCUCGGCCCGCAGAGAGGAGCCGAGCAGCGGCGGCCGGCCGGAGCUGCUCGUGUACCUCACCUCCCUCCAGGAGAGAUACGGGGCCGCGAAGUUCAGCCUGGCGGCUUACCUGCUCUGCUGGGCUCUGCUCAGAUGGUACCGGGUGAGAUUCUUUACUUACAUGUUGAGCUGUGACUUUUAAAGCGGUCUCACUCCAAAGUGAAGACGCUCUCGGGCACUUAACUUCACUUCUCUGGGCCUUAAUAUCAAAAGAGGCACAGAACAUGGAAACAUCAUGACCAUGUCCCGUUCAGUGCGAUAUACAGGCUGUAUCCACGCUGCGUUCUAAUGCAGGGACUUUCUACACUAUUAGUCCUCACACAUGUUGAUUGCAGCGCCCAGACUGAUGUGUGUGUGUGUGUUCUGUGUGUGUGUGUGUGUGUGGCCCGUGUCAAAGUCUGGAACUUUAUUUGGCUGAAAUGCUGUAGUCAGGCGACUU